CCCAUCCCAUCUGUCUGUCUGUCUGCAUUCUUGUCUUUCUUUCUGUUCUCUUUUCCCUUUUGGUCUCCAUUUCUAGGCACCGAGUAGGGAGGAUGCUUUGCUUCCCAGUCGUGCCAGCGUCUGGGCUCCUGGACUGAGAACCUGCAGCCCCGCUGCCGCCAGCAGAAGGACAGGGAGGCUCAGGUCCUCACACGGGAGGAGGGGUGAGUGUCCCAGAGCAAACCCAGGGUCUUAGAGUGGCAGCCGGCUUGACGUGAUUAGCUGAGUGACCUUGUCCGAGGGCCUUUACCUGGCUUCAGGGUCCUGGUCCAUAAUAAUUCCUCCAGGGCUGCGUGGAUCAGUAUUGAUGAGCACUGCAGCGAAAUGUCCUAUUGCACGGGUGCUCCUGGCAUGGGGGGCAGGGCUGACACCCCAAACCCACACUUACGUUGGCCUCGGACCCCGUGUCCGGCUGUGUAUCUUACUGAGUUUUUGUUUUUGUUUUUGUUUUUUGUACUGGGAUUUAACCCAAUGGCACUUUACCCCUG
rnacentral:lncRNA from 1 species